rnacentral:rRNA from 1 species
GACAGAGGGUGCAAACGUUGUUCGGAAUUACUGGGCGUAAAGCGCGUGUAGGCGGCCAAGUGUGUCGGAUGUGAAAUCCCGCAGCUCAACUGUGGAAGUGCAUUCGAAACUGCUUGGCUGGAGUUUCGGAGAGGAAGGCGGAAUGCUUGGUGUAGAGGUGAAAUGCGUAGAGAUCCGGAGGAACACCAGUGGCGAAGGCGACACGCUGGGCCAUACCUGACGCUAAAGCGCGACAGCAUGGGGAGCAAACGGG